rnacentral:rRNA from 1 species
UACAGAGGUCUCAAGCGUUGUUCGGAUUCAUUGGGCGUAAAGGGUGUGUAGGUGGCGCGCUAAGUCGGGUGUGAAAUUUCGGAGCUUAACUCCGAAACUGCAUUCGAUACUGGCGUGCUUGAGGACUGGAGAGGAGACUGGAAUUCAUGGUGUAGCAGUGAAAUGCGUAGAGAUCAUGAGGAAGACCAGUGGCGAAGGCGGGUCUCUGGACAGUUCCUGACACUGAGAAGCGAAAGCCAGGGGAGCGAACGGG